UACAGAGGUCCCAAGCGUUGUUCGGAUUCACUGGGCGUAAAGGGUGCGUAGGCGGUCGGGUAAGUCUGAUGUGAAAUCUCACAGCUUAACUGUGAAACUGCAUUGGAUACUAUUCGGCUUGAGAGUUGGAGGGGGGACUGGAAUUCUUGGUGUAGCAGUGAAAUGCGUAGAUAUCAAGAGGAACACCAGUGGCGAAGGCGAUCAUCUGGGGUUGUUCUGACACUGAGGAGCGAAAGCUAGGGGAGCAAACGGG
rnacentral:rRNA from 1 species